rnacentral:lncRNA from 1 species
GGUUUAUGCCUGUUUUUUAGUUGGUACGUUUUAACAAUGUGUACCGGAUUAUAGUAGACAAAAAUACCCUUAUUUAUCAUGGAUUCUAAGUUUUAAGGUCAAGGAUAUUUAAAUAAUUUUCAUUCUCAAAACUAAAAAAAAAAAAAGAAACCCCCAAACCCUUACUCACCUCCCUCAUUCCUCUCAACCCUUUCUCUUUCAUCUCUCCACUCCAACAUUUUCUCUGUCAUCUCUCUCACUCCAACAUUUUCUCUGUCAUCCCUACUGUUGCCCUAAUUGAAAAAAAAAAUCAAAAACCCUUUGUCAUCAAGAUAUUUUCUCUCUCAUCUCAACAUUUUCUCUCAAC